rnacentral:pre_miRNA from 15 species
CCCCACGACCCGCGGCAGGUGCGGUGGGGCAGCUGGUGUUGUGAAUCAGGCCGGCGCCCAUCGGAAAACGGCUACUUCACAACACCAGGGCCGCACCUCACCCCAGGCAGCACCGGGUGCU